GCGGCAACAGCUCAAAUUUGAAAUCUGGCCCUCGGGUCCGAGUUGUAAUUUGUAGAGGAUGCUUUUGGUGAGGUGCCUUCCGAGUUCCCUGGAACGGGACGCCAUAGAGGGUGAGAGCCCCGUCUGGUUGGACACCAAACCUCUGUAAAGCUCCUUCGACGAGUCGAGUAGUUUGGGAAUGCUGCUCUAAAUGGGAGGUAUAUGUCUUCUAAAGCUAAAUAUUGGCCAGAGACCGAUAGCGCACAAGUAGAGUGAUCGAAAGAUGAAAAGCACUUUGAAAAGAGGGUUAAAUAGUACGUGAAAUUGUUGAAAGGGAAGCGCUUGUGACCAGACUUGAGCCCGGUUAAUCAUCCAGCCUUCUGGCUGGUGCACUUGGCCGGCUCAGGCCAGCAUCAGUUCGGCGUGGGGGAUAAAGGUUUCGGGAAUGUGGCUCCUCCGGGAGUGUUAUAGCCCGUUGCGUAAUACCCUGUACUGGACUGAGGUUCGCGCAUCUGCAAGGAUGCUGGCGUAAUGGUCAUCAGCGACCCGUCUUGAAACACGGACCAAGGAGUCGUCCUCGUAUGCGAGUGUUCGGGUGUCAAACCCCUACGCGUAAUGAAAGUGAACGCAGGUGAGAGCUUCGGCGCAUCAUCGACCGAUCCAGAUGUUCUCGGACGGAUUUGAGUAAGAGCAUACGGGGCCGGACCCGAAAGAAGGUGAACUAUGCCUGUAUAGGGUGAAGCCAGAGGAAACUCUGGUGGAGGCUCGCAGCGGUUCUGACGUGCAAAUCGAUCGUCAAAUAUGGGCAU
rnacentral:rRNA from 1 species